rnacentral:tRNA from 1 species
AAAGAGUUAGUUAAAAUAUAACAUUAAAUUGUCAAAUUAAAAUUACUGUAAGUUCUCUUUA